rnacentral:rRNA from 1 species
AGGGUUUGAUUCUGGCUCAGGAUGAACGCUGGCGGCGUGCCUAACACAUGCAAGUCGAGCGAAGCACUCCACUUUGAUUUCUUCGGAAUGAAGAGAGGUUUGACUGAGCGGCGGACGGGUGAGUAACGCGUGGGUAACCUGCCUCAUACAGGGGGAUAACAGUUAGAAAUGACUGCUAAUACCGCAUAAGACCACAGCACCGCAUGGUGCAGGGGUAAAAACUCCGGUGGUAUGAGAUGGACCCGCGUCUGAUUAGCUAGUUGGUAAGGUAACGGCUUACCAAGGCGACGAUCAGUAGCCGACCUGAGAGGGUGACCGGCCACAUUGGGACUGAGACACGGCCCAA